UGUCCUUCCCAACCCUAUAGGAAUCCAAAAACUCAAAAAAGAAGAAAUAGAAAAACCCACCAUAACCUCCUCCGGUGCUCGUCCCUAAUGAUGUCCGCCGCCAGAUGUUUCCUUCGCUCCGCCGCUUCUCGCGCAAAUCUGGCUGCCGGAGCCAAACCUAGACCUACAUGCUCAAUGUUUCGGAUCCCAAAACAAACCUCAAUUUCCAAUCGCAUUUCAAGAUUGCCGGUGGAGAUGAGUUCCGGCGUGGAGUCGUUGCUUCCAUAUCACACUGCAACAGCUUCUGCAUUGCUCACUUCAAUGCUUUCAGUUUCUCGCCACUCUUACGGCUGGACUCCGGAAGAUUGCAAUGAUGAUGUAUGAUGAAUGACAAGAGGGUUCGGGCAAAGUUUUAUGUAGGUGCGCUCUGAAUAAGGCUCGUGAUCACAUUUUGGGGCUUGGGGACUACCCAUAUGAAUGUUUGCUGUUAUUCGGUGCGGUUCAUUGCGCGUACUUUCUGUGGAUUUCAGUUUACUUUGUUAGGCCUUCUUAGCGGAUUCUCAUAGGUUGAAUGUAAAAUCUCAAGAAUUAAAUUGUACAAGCAUCCAAAGCUGGUGGCAUGCUUAGGUAUGAUUGUUAUUUUAUUUAAUCACCACUGCAACAUUUCUUCCCUGCAAGUUACAACGAUUUAUUUCACCCUGAUGAUUCAAGAGUUA